rnacentral:lncRNA from 1 species
AAUGAAUACAGAUGAUCUACCCUCUGACAGUGAUCAAAGUGAUGUAGACUAUGUUCCAUCUGAUUGUGAAGGAAAACUCUCAGAGGAAGACUCAGAUGAAAACAUCUCUGAUGAGCCACAGUGUCAGGAAGAUGGUGGUCUUGAGGAUCCGGGAAAGAAACGCAAGAAGAAGCAAAAGAAGAGUAGAAAAUCCAGAAAAGUGUCUCAAGAGGAAGAAAAAACUGAAGUCAAUGAAGAGACAACAAGCAAUAAACCAAUUUCAGCAGAAGAAGAAAAAAAGAGAGCUGAUUCCCUAUGGGCUGAUUUCAUGAAAGAUGUUGGCGGAGCCCCCAAAAAGUCUGAACCCUCCAUUUCGAGUACGUCCAAUGACCAUCAAAAAGCAUCUGAACAAAAAACUCCAGCUAAAACGAUAUGUGAUGAAAAAAAAGAAGAGAAAAAGAAGUAG